UACAGAGGGUGCAAGCGUUAUUCGGAAUCACUGGGCGUAAAGAGUUCGUAGGCUGUUUAUUAAGUCUGAUGUGAAAGCCCUGGACCUAAUCCAGGAAGUGCAUUAGAUACUGGUAGACUAGAGUGCAGGAGGGGGAGAGCGGAAUUCCAGGUGUAGAGGUGAAAAUUCGUAGAUAUCUGGAGGAACAACAGGGGCGAAGGCGGCUCUCUGGAGCUGCAACUGACGCUGAGGAACGAAAGCAUGGGGAGCAAACAGG
rnacentral:rRNA from 1 species